rnacentral:rRNA from 1 species
CGUGCAGGCGGCUGCCAAAGUCGGGUGUGAAAGCCUUGAGCUCAACUCAAGAAAUGCACUCGAUACUUGGCGGCUAGAGGACCGGAGAGGAUAGUGGAAUUCCCAGUGUAGUGGUGAAAUACGUAGAGAUUGGGAAGAACACCAGUGGCGAAGGCGGCUAUCUGGACGGUUUCUGACGCUGAGACGCGAAAGCGUGGGGAGCAAACAGGAUUAGAUACCCUGGUAGUCCACGCCGUAAACGAUGGGUGCUAGACGUUGGCGAGCUUGCUCGUCAGUGUCGCAGCUAACGCGUUAAGCACCCCGCCUGGGGAGUACGGCCGCAAGGUUGAA